rnacentral:rRNA from 1 species
GACGAAGGAUGCAAGCGUUAUCCGGAUUCAUUGGGUUUAAAGGGAGCGUAGGCGGAUUGGUAAGUCAGUGGUGAAAUCUUUGGGCUUAACCCAGAAACUGCCAUUGAUACUGCUGAUCUAGAGUACAGUUGCCGUUGGCGGAAUAUGACAUGUAGUGGUGAAAUACUUAGAUAUGUCAUAGAACACCGAUUGCGAGGGCAGCUAACGAAGCUGUAACUGACGCUGAGGCUCGAAAGUGCGGGGAUCAAACAGG